UAGCAUAUCAAUAAGCGGAGGAAAAGAAACCAACAGGGAUUGCCCCAGUAACGGCGAGUGAAGCGGCAACAGCUCAAAUUUGAAAUCUGGCCCCCCGGGUCCGAGUUGUAAUUUGCAGAGGAUGCUUUCGGUGCGGCCCCUUCUGAGUCCCCUGGAAUGGGGCGCCAUAGAGGGUGAGAGCCCCGUAUAGUCGGACGCCAAACCGGUGUAAAGCUCCUUCGACGAGUCGAGUAGUUUGGGAAUGCUGCUCAAAAUGGGAGGUAAAUUUCUUCUAAAGCUAAAUACCGGCCAGAGACCGAUAGCGCACAAGUAGAGUGAUCGAAAGAUGAAAAGCACUUUGAAAAGAGGGUUAAACAGCACGUGAAAUUGUUGAAAGGGAAGCGCUUGUGACUAGACUCGCGCCGGGCGGAUCAUCCAGCGUUCUCGCUGGUGCGCUCCGCCCGGCCCGGGCCAGCAUCGGUUUCCGCUGGGGGACAAAGGCUCCGGGAACGUAGCUCUCUUCGGGGAGUGUUAUAGCCCGGUGCGUAAUACCCCGGCGGGGACCGAGGACCGCGCUUCGGCAAGGAUGCUGGCGUAAUGGUCAUCAGCGACCCGUCUUGAAACACGGACCAAGGAGUCAAGCAUUAGGGCGAGUGUUUGGGUGUAAAACCCGCACGCGUAAUGAAAGUGAACGUAGGUGAGAGCUUCGGCGCAUCAUCGACCGAUCCUGAUGUAUUCGGAUGGAUUUGAGUAGGAGCCUUAACGCUUGGACCCGAAAGAUGGUGAACUAUGCCUGUAUAGGGUGAAGCCAGAGGAAACUCUGGUGGAGGCUCGCAGCGGUUCUGACGUGCAAAUCGAUCGUCAAAUAUGGGCAUAGGGGCGAAAGACUAAUCGAACCAUCUAGUAGCUGGUUACCGCCGA
rnacentral:rRNA from 1 species